GUGGUUUUGAUAGGAAUACUGGAUACACUAGGAUUGAGGAAAAUAAAAGAAGAUGUAUUCCGUCCGCCAACCCCCUACGCAAAUCUCAACCAGGAUCGUUUCGUUGCCCCACGACUCUACACCCACUUCAGUACUCCCAGCCCCUCUUACUCCGCUCCUCAUUAUAAUCAAUAAUUUUGAUCUAUUAUUGAUCAUUCUGGGGGACGUGAAAAGCAUACAUGGAUUCCCCUUCACUUCCAGAAAAUUCUUUUCAGCUGAUAUGACGCUCCAGGUACAAGAACCGACCAUCCCCUGAGCCCAUUAACGCCAGGAUGACCAAACAUCACGUGUCGUGGAGGACUAAAACGUUUGUAGGUACUCUUAGGAAUACUGGAUACACUAGGAUUGAGGAAAAUAAAAGAAGAUGUAUUCCGUCCGCCAACCCCCUACGCAAAUCUCAACCAGGAUCGUUUCGUUGCCCCACGACUCUACACCCACUUCAGUACUCCCAGCCCCUCUUACUCCGCUCCUCAUUAUAAUCAAUAAUUUUGAUCUAUUAUUGAUCAUUCUGGGGGACGUGAAAAGCAUACAUGGAUUCCCCUUCACUUCCAGAAAAUUCUUUUCAGCUGAUAUGACGCUCCAGGUACAAGAACCGACCAUCCCCUGAGCCCAUUAACGCCAGGAUGACCAAACAUCACGUGUCGUGGAGGACUAAAACGUUUGUAGGUACUCUUAGGAAUACUGGAUACACUAGGAUUGAGGAAAAUAAAAGAAGAUGUAUUCCGUCCGCCAACCCCCUACGCAAAUCUCAACCAGGAUCGUUUCGUUGCCCCACGACUCUACACCCACUUCAGUACUCCCAGCCCCUCUUACUCCGCUCCUCAUUAUAAUCAAUAAUUUUGAUCUAUUAUUGAUCAUUCUGGGGGACGUGAAAAGCAUACAUGGAUUCCCCUUCACUUCCAGAAAAUUCUUUUCAGCUGAUAUGACGCUCCAGGUACAAGAACCGACCAUCCCCUGAGCCCAUUAACGCCAGGAUGACCAAACAUCACGUGUCGUGGAGGACUAAAACGUUUGUAGGUACUCUUAGGAAUACUGGAUACACUAGGAUUGAGGAAAAUAAAAGAAGAUGUAUUCCGUCCGCCAACCCCCUACGCAAAUCUCAACCAGGAUCGUUUCGUUGCCCCACGACUCU